GACGGAGGGUGCAAGCGUUGUUCGGAAUUACUGGGCGUAAAGCGCGUGUAGGCGGUCCGGUAAGUCCGCUGUGAAAGUCGGGGGCUCAACCCUCGAAUGCCGGUGGAUACUGUCGGGCUAGAGUGCGGAAGAGGCGAGUGGAAUUCCUGGUGUAGCGGUGAAAUGCGCAGAUAUCAGGAGGAACACCAAUUGCGAAGGCAGCUCGCUGGGACGUUACUGACGCUGAGACGCGAAAGCGUGGGGAGCAAACAGG
rnacentral:rRNA from 1 species